UUGACACGUCAUUCGAUGGAAUUUCCCAGUCUUUUUGGCGCGAAAAUCGUGAAUGUCACCUGUUUUCGCGACAGGUAUUUUUCUCGCUUGAAUCGUAAAUCUAGCGUAAUGGCGGCCAACUACGAUUUGGAUAGCGAUCAGAUGACUAACAACUACUCUAUCGGGAAUAAUAAUGUGUUUGAUUUGAAUAAUUUACGUGAAGGGGAGAGGGAAUUUCGUGAAGAUUUUGACGGUUUCGACGAGGUGUCCCCCCCCCCCCGCGCCAACUUUCAAGAAUGGGAGUGGCAGAGGGACCACAACGGUGGAGACAUGAGGGAUUUUGAAGAGGCGACCGGACUCAAGAAUAUAUAUUGACACGGUGAGUGAAAUAUCGUGCUAUUGAUUUUUUCCAACUGUUUUACAAUGAUUCUGUGUUUGAACAGAUUAUCAGUGCGACGAAUGAGAAUGCAGCCUACAGGUGAACGAGCGAUCACAACAACAACAAAGAUCAAUCUGUGAUAUCUUCUCUGUGAUGUCAUUCUUAUAGGAGCUGUGGUUCAAUGUUCAGAUGUGCAUGAAGAGAAUUUACCUGUAACACCUGGGAUUA